CUAAAGACUCGUAUUCUCUCUGGAUCAAAUAGCAAAAUCCUAAAGUUAUAGAGCCGAACUUGCAUCUAAUCCGCCCAACUCAUCGUCAUCAUCACCCGUCGUCUUCACCAUCUCUAUGCACUUGCAACAAUUUUCCGGUGACCAACCCCUACCACGAUGCACAUUUGCCUCUCUUCUCUACUCUAACUUACUAUCCAACCCCGCCACCACUCAUCGUCACCAACAAUGCAAUUGCUGAUGCCCCCAUCUCAGCCACCAUCCGGUGGCUAAGCGUCGACGGUCACCCUGCUUGGACUGUGACAUCGGUGACCUGACUCAUUCAACCGACCCUAAAAGCCCUUUUUCUUCUAUGCUAAUAUAUAUCUAAGGUUCGUCUUGGUUGUAGGUGAUCAACCCAUACUUGGUAAUAUGCUUCCCUUUUUAGAGAAAUUUUUAAUCUUUUAGGGCAUUUUUUUAAUCUUGGUUGCAGGUGUUCAGCUCCUAGCACAAAAGUUUGUUUUGAGGUAUUGCAAUAAGUUUAAGAUACAUAAAGUGGUCGGUGGUUAUAGAAAAUAGGCUUUAUGUUUUGGUACUAUUUGAGGCGAAUCUAAUUCUUAUAUUAUCAUUUUUUUCAGUAUUAAAAGUCUGCUCAUUGUUCAAAUACCUUGAAAUUUUCUUCAAAAAUCUAUUAAUCAUAUGUUGUUCUUUCAAUAAGCCUAUUUCUUAUUUUGUUAUUCCUUCUUUGCAGGUUAUUUGGUUAUGGUUUUGGACUGAUGGAAUUAGAUAAAAUGAUAGAGCCAGCUUAAAGCAGAGUUUUUCAGGUGCUCUCCAGAAACCCUGGUCCUCACAACAAUAAUUGAAGAAAUUAAGGGAAAAGGAACCUAUUUAGUAAAAAAAGAAAAUCUUCCAAAAGGUAAUGAAAAUCCAUUAUAGUCAUAUAUUAUUGGAAGAUUUAGAAUAGUUUAUACUAUUAUUUUUGUACUUGGGUUUACGUUUGUAUAAAAGCUUAAAUAUCUUGGGUAGUUAUGUAAUAUACUAAAACUCAGUCGGUUUGUAUCCAGAGUUUUGUAAUCAAAUUAUCAAUGUAAAAUAUUGUUUAUAAAUAUUCAUGUAGCAUG